GACGAACGCUGGCGGCGUGCUUAACACAUGCAAGUCGAACGGAAAGGCCCUGCUUUUGUGGGGUGCUCGAGUGGCGAACGGGUGAGUAACACGUGAGUAACCUGCCCUUGACUUUGGGAUAACUUCAGGAAACUGGGGCUAAUACCGGAUAGGAGCUCCUGCUGCAUGGUGGGGGUUGGAAAGUUUCGGCGGUUGGGGAUGGACUCGCGGCUUAUCAGCUUGUUGGUGGGGUAGUGGCUUACCAAGGCUUUGACGGGUAGCCGGCCUGAGAGGGUGACCGGCCACAUUGGAACUGAGAUACAGCCCAGAAUACUACGGGAGGAAGGAGUGGUGGAUAGUGCACAAUGGGCGGAAGCCUGAUGCAGCAACGCCGCGUGGGGGAUGAAGGCCUUCGGGUUGUAAACCGCUUUCGCCUGUGACGAAGCGUGAGUGACGGUAAUGGGUAAAGAAGCACCGGCUAAAUACGUG
rnacentral:rRNA from 1 species